ensembl:lncRNA
UUCGACUUCAGAGAAAAUCCUGAGACACCAGCGACAUUCCCAUUUAACAGAGACACACUGUGGGGUGGUUUAUUGGGAAAAUGUCCCAGGCAGGAACAGUCCAGCCAUGGAGGAACGUGAACUUGAAUUUGAACUCUUUGGAUUCAUGAACUGAGACUCCCUCACUCCUCAGGGAAGCUCCCACAGCUGCAGCUGAUGCUGUCACGGGCCGUUUCCCCCAGCUGGUUUGAGUUUCUACCAGCACAUUUUGAGCUUUAGGAUCUGGAGGGAAACCACUGGAGAGCAGGAAUCGAAUGGAAAGGUUGUGAGGCCGAUUAAAGCAAUGUCUGCUGCCCGCUGUGGGCCGGAACAUGCGAUAAAGAAGAAACAGGUUCAUUGACAAAAGCUGGUCAUGGCGACUGGCCACGUGUAUGCCACCAGGAAACAGGACAUCAGUGGGUGUGACUCACCUCCUGCCUCAGCCUCAACCUGUGAUGAUAAUGAGCUUGUGGAGAGAGAGAGAGAAAUCUUCUUCUGCCCUGUUCUCGUGAUACCUUCUUUUGGGCUCUGUGUUGAUGCCGCAAGACAGGAGUUACUGAAGUGCAACACACCUGCCUGGAUGCCAGGCUAUCACAAUGCGGUACGAUCCUCUCUUAGGAUGAUGGGCAGCGGCAGCCAGCCACAGCUCCCAGACAGCCCGGUGAUCACGAGGACUUUACUCAGAAAUCACCUCCUCGGAGAGGCCUUCAUGACCAUGCAUUCAAAAAAUAAAUCUGUCUUAGACAUUAGUCCAUUACUAAUGUUCACAAAUAUUGGCUUCAAUUACACCUCAAUAAAGCAGAAAAAAAGAAUAUUGGUUUCUUCUCAAGAUCUCUGGCCUCGAAGGAUCACAAGUGCCACGUGUCCCUCUAGAUUGUGGGUGCUUGCCUCUCAGGUCUUCUGCUCACCUGCUGUGGUGGACCCGGAAGCCUCAUGUGGAGCUGGCAGCAUUGGAAACUGGUGGACCCUAAGCAGGACUGUGGGGAAGCACACGGCAGAGGCUUCUAACUCGGAUGGUGGGACCCCAGGGAAGAUUGGAGGAAAUCAGUUCUAAGCUGAGUCCUGAAGACUGAGCAGGAACCAAGCAUUCAAGCCUCCUAGUCCACACCCACAACAGACCUCAUGAGAGCAAAAUAGAAACUUCCAGUGUGCUGAGGCCCUGAGACGUCGGCAGUGUUUGUUUCCGCAGUGCAAGCUCAGUGUAUCCUGACUGGUCCAACAGCCCCCAGCCCCGCUCUUCUCUGAGUCCUUAAUCUGCUCUAUUUUUCUUCGUAGCACUUAAUACUACCUUGUAUAAAGUUACGCAUUGAUUUACUGAUUUGUUUAUCAUCUAUUUUCCUCCAAAUGGCAUCAGGGCAAGGAUUCCAUGGAGUCUUUGUUCUCUGCUGUAUCGCUGUGGUCUAGCACAGAGGCUGGCCCACAGUAGAUGCUCAACGAAUACUUUAGAAUGAAUGACUGGAUAAAUGAAAGGCUGCCCAUGCCUGUCACAGCCUUACCACACAGCGUUAUGGUGUUUCUAUGGACAUUUAUCCAUUUAACCAAUAUUUCUCAGGCAUACCUGUUAUGUGCCAAACAGACCAUGGGGAUAGAGCAGGAAAUUUCUCAAUGAAUUAUAUGUCUGUCUCCCCUGCAAUGAGUACCUGAAGGCCAGAGAUUGUACUUUUCGUGUUUAUGUCCCUGGUUCCUGCACAGAGCUGACAUCCAGUAAUGUGUGUUGAAUAAAGAAACGACUCAACAAGUCCGUGAGGAAGGCAUCAUUAGAGAAAGACCAGGCAUGACUUGUGUCGCGGCAUCACCCUGAAACAUGUGUUCUCGCCAGGAGGCGUCAUUCUCUUCAGCUAUGAUGCAGAUGCAGCAUAUGGGUCAUUAUGCACAUCCAGCAGACUGUAAGUCCCCUGAGGGCAGGGCCGUGUUUCUUUCAUCGAUGUUUCAUCGCUGGCAACGGCACAAUGCCUGGCCUAUUGCCAUAGGAACUCACUACAUGUAUGGAAUGAAUGAAUGAAUUUAACUAGCAACUUUUGUGUAUGUGUCCAUUUCUUUAUGAUACACUUUCUUGAGCAUUUUGUCCUUUGAGAUAUGCCUGGUGGGAAGGCCUGUCCGUGUCCUGAAGACUGUGCCAGAGUGUGACAGUCCUGUCCUUUUCACCUGAAAAGUUCACUUGAACUUCCUUCUUCCUUCCUUCUCCUUUUUGGGGUUUGCAAGUUCAGCACUUACAAGCGGCUGCCCAUUUUCCAG